AUUGAACGCUGGCGGCAGGCAUAACACAUGCAAGUCGAGCGGAGCGGCGGACGGGUGAGUAAUGCCUAGGAAUAUGCCUGGUAGUGGGGGAUAACGUCCGGACACGGGAGCUAAUACCGAAUACUAUCAUAUGCGCCUAGGUAGAAUUAGCUAUGUGGUGGGGUAAAGGCCUACCAAGGCGAAGAUCCGUAACUGUUCUGAGAGGAUGAUCAGUCACACUGGAACUGAGACACGGUCCAGACUCCUACGGGAGUCAGCAGUGGGGAAUAUUGCACUAUGGGCGAAAGCCUGAUGCAGCCAUGCCGCGUGUAUGAAGAAGGCCUUCGGGUUGUAAAGUACUUUCAGCGGGGAGGCGUUACCCGCAGAAGAAGAACCGGCUAACUCCGUGCCAGCAGCCGCGGUAAUUC
rnacentral:rRNA from 1 species